rnacentral:rRNA from 1 species
GUGAGGAAUAUUGGUCAAUGGGCGAGAGCCUGAACCAGCCAAGUCGCGUGAAGGAUGAAGGUUUUAUGAAUUGUAAACUUCUUUUGCAGGGGAAUAAAGUACGGUACGUGUACCGUUUUGUAUGUACUCUGCGAAUAAGGAACGGCUAACUCCGUGCCAGCAGCCGCGGUAAUACGGAGGAUCCAAGCGUUAUCCGGAUUUAUUGGGUUUAAAGGGUGCGCAGGCGGGUUGAUAAGUCAGCGGUGAAAGUUUGCAGCUUAACUGUAAAAUUGCCGUUGAAACUGUCGAUCUUGAGUGCAAAUGAGGUAAGCGGAAUGUGUUGUGUAGCGGUGAAAUGCUUAGAUAUAACACAGAACACCGAUUGCGAAGGCAGCUUACUGGGAUGCAACUGACGCUCAUGCACGAAAGCGUGGGGAUCAAACAGGAUUAGAUACCCUAGUAGUCC